AACGCAACUUGCGCUCUCUGGUAUUCCGGAGGGCAUGCCUGUUUGAGUGUCAUGUAGACUCAUCUAAUCAGAGUUUUCUGAUCAAGAUGGAUAUGGGGGUCUGCCUUUUGGCUCCCCUUAAAAGCAUUAUGCAGACGUAAUAAGUUUUGUCGUACGCAUACAUUACUCUAUUUGUACUCUGACCUCAAAUCAGGUAGGGCUACCCGCUGAACUUAA
rnacentral:misc_RNA from 1 species